AUACUUGCCUGGCAGGGGAGAGACCACGAUCACAAAGGUGAUUUUCCCAGUGUGAAGUUUAUCCAUUGCACUUCCAAUGUGCUGACCCCUCCGAUUUUCCCAAAUGUGAGAAACUUAACUGCAUAAUUUGUGGUAGUGUGGGACUGCAUUCAUGCUCUCCCCUG
rnacentral:snRNA from 1 species